rnacentral:rRNA from 1 species
GGCUACGGCCAUAUCACGAUGAAUGCACCUCUAUCCGAUUUGAGAAGUUAAGCAUCGUCGAGCCACAUCAGUACUGAGGUUGGAGACAACUUGGGAACCUGUGGUGCUGUAGUCU